rnacentral:rRNA from 1 species
UACGAAGGGGGCUAGCGUUGCUCGGAAUCACUGGGCGUAAAGCGCACGUAGGCGGCCAGCACAAGUCAGUUGUGAAAUCUCCGAGCUUAACUCGGAAAGGUCAACUGAUACUGUGCGGCUAGAGUGCAGAAGGGGCAACUGGAAUUCUUGGUGUAGCGGUGAAAUGCGUAGAUAUCAAGAGGAACACCUGCGGCGAAGGCGGGUUGCUGGGCUGACACUGACGCUGAGGCGCGAAAGCGUGGGGAGCAAACAGG